rnacentral:misc_RNA from 1 species
GAUGAAGAACGUAGCGAAAUGCGAUAAGUAGUGUGAAUUGCAGAAUUCCGUGAAUCAUCGAAUCUUUGAACGCACAUUGCGCCCGCCAGUAUUCUGGCGGGCAUGCCUGUUCGAGCGUCAUUUCAACCCUCAAGCCCUGCUUGGUGUUGGGGAUCGGCGUUGCCUCCUCCGUCGUUCGCGGCGGGGUGAGGUCGCCGCCCCCGAAAUGAAUUGGCGGUCUCGUCGCAGCUUUCCUUUGCGUAGUAACAUACCACCUCGCAACCAGGAGCGCAGCGCGGCCACUGCCGUAAAACGCCCAACUUUUUCAAGAGUUGACCUCGAAUCAGGUAGGAAUACCCGCUGAACUUAAGCAUAUCAAUAAGCGGAGGA